CUGUCUCUGUCCUGGGUGCCCUGCAUCCCCUCCGGCCACAGCACUACCCGGUGAGCUAGAGCUCAGAGGAAGCCUCAGUUCCCAGUUCUACAUAAUAUGUAAACGUUGACUAAAGCACUCCCAUAGAUGGAGGAGAGGGAGUGAAUGAGGCCCCUGCUGCGCAGAAUGGAAUGGGAAGCGAAACAGAAGAAGUGAUGUAGAUGUGCCACCUACCCAGCAUCACUACAAUUGCAGCAG